rnacentral:lncRNA from 1 species
UCUUUUAGUUCCGACUAUUUUUGGUCCCCGAAAGCUCUAUCGAACUGAAAUCUCUAGCAGAUAGCAGUCGGAUUUUAUUUUUCACUUUCCGCGUGUCGGAAUGACAUGAAACUUUAAAUCUAGUCUCAUAAAAAUAAUUUCGACAUAUUCCCAGAUUUUCAUAAUUUUCUGACACUGAAUUUUUUGCUAAAAUAUCAGCCCCGUUUCUCACAGAAAAUUUUAAAUCUUCUGUUUCUGUUCCGAUUUCAGCACAAGUCGUUUCCGACUUAUGUUUUACUUCUUUAAGUCCAAUAAAAAUAGUAUCCCACACUAUUUUUAUUUAUAUUUAUUUUUAAAUUAAAAUUCGGUACAUUACAUUCUACACCCCUUAAAAAGAGUUUCGUCUGCGAAACUCAAACCACGCCUCAAUUUAGCUCCUCGAGCAAUUG